rnacentral:rRNA from 1 species
UACGUAGGGUGCAAGCGUUGUCCGGAAUUAUUGGGCGUAAAGAGCUCGUAGGCGGUCUGUCGCGUCGGAUGUGAAAACUCGGGGCUCAACCCCGGGCUUGCAUUCGAUACGGGCAGACUAGAGUUCGGCAGGGGAGACUGGAAUUCCUGGUGUAGCGGUGAAAUGCGCAGAUAUCAGGAGGAACACCGGUGGCGAAGGCGGGUCUCUGGGCCGAAACUGACGCUGAGGAGCGAAAGCGUGGGGAGCAAACAGG